GACGAACGCUGGCGGCGUGCCUAAUACAUGCAAGUAGAACGCUGAAGGAAGGAGCUUGCUCUUUCCGGAUGAGUUGCGAACGGGUGAGUAACGCGUAGGUAACCUGCCUGGUAGCGGGGGAUAACUAUUGGAAACGAUAGCUAAUACCGCAUAACAGUAGAUAUCGCAUGAUAGCUGCUUGAAAGGUGCAAUUGCAUCACUACCAGAUGGACCUGCGUUGUAUUAGCUAGUUGGUGAGGUAACGGCUCACCAAGGCAACGAUACAUAGCCGACCUGAGAGGGUGAUCGGCCACACUGGGACUGAGACACGGCCCAGACUCCUACGGGAGGCAGCAGUAGGGAGUCUUCGGCAAUGGACGGAAGUCUGACCGAGCAACGCCGCGUGAGUGAAGAAGGUUUUCGGAUCGUAAAGCUCUGUUGUAAGAGAAGAACGAGUGUGAGAGUGGAAAGUUCACACUGUGACGGUAUCUUACCAG
rnacentral:rRNA from 1 species